GUGUGGAAAUUUUGGAAAAGCUAGGAGGCGUUUGACAAGUGAUUGGAGUGCCACUCAAGCACUACCACUCACAAAGUACAGAUCAUUGUACGUAGGUCACUCUGAAAGUAAUUUCUCCUAUUUAUUUCUCAAACUACAACAGACACAGAGAGCAUGAUAAUACUAUUCGAUAGAGCAAAUUCUCACCUACACACCUACACUAUUUUUCAACGUAGUCACCACUAUUAGCUGUGCAUUUUCGUCAGCAACGAACAGGAGCCUGCAUGCUAUGCUCAUAAAAAUCUGCACAAGCAGAGGUGACUGAUUGUUUUGUAGUGGCUAUGAUGGUGCCAUUGCUAGGAAAAUGUUGCCCAUGCAGUCCAAGUUUCACCAUCCUGAAUACAUGGAAGUCAGAAGGCAAUAAAUCCAGACUCUAUGGUGGGUGUGGUGGGGCAGUCCAGCCAAAACUGGCAAUGUGCUCCACAGUCUGCUAACUGGUAUGAGGCCUGGUGUUACCAUGUUGCAAGAGAAAGGUUGUCUUUCUCUCUUUCCUGACUCUAGAAAUUCAAGCCUUCAACUCAGACAGUGCUGUGAUGUAGUUGAUGGUUUGCCUGGGUUCCAGGGAAGCCAGAACGAUCACCCCUUUCCUAACCCAAAAGACAGUGCACAUCACUUUAUGCACUGAGAGCUGCAUCUUGAACUUUUUUUGAUGAGGAAUUUUCAUCACCACUUCAUGGACUGCUGUUUUGAAUCCACUCUGUAGUGGUGACACUACAUCUCAUCACAAGUAAUGAUGCAAUCCAGGAAACUGCCCCAGCCUUGUGUUUCUUCAAUAGGUGCAAAUGAUGUUCUUUCUGUUCCUAUUUGAUCAUUUGUGGGACCCAUGUGGCACAAGCUUAGCAGUAUUUCAGCAUUACUGCCAUCAUUUCCAGUGCACUGAAGCUCCAUACACAGUUCCCUGGUUGUAAUAGCCUGAUUCACACAGAGGAGCUGAUUGAGACGCUUUGCAUAGCUGUCUGGAACAUGGCUUAUAUUUCAUGUCACUGUCCACUGCUGAAACGGACCACCCACCACCUCACUGUGCUCAUGUCCACUGUCGGGUCUCCAAAAGCAUUCAGCAACUGUCAGUGAAGGUAAAUGGGCAUCAGUUUUCCCAGGUGGAUGAAUUCGUCUGCACUUCCAUGUCAGAUGGCAUUUUGUCAGACUGCUCCUCUGCUGCCAUCUGUCACACGGCAACAAAAUGCACUGGAAUAUAGGUGGGAAGGUUCAACCUCUACUGCCAUAACACCAGCAUCCACCAACAUAAUAAAAAGGAGUUCAAAUAAAUGAACAUCAUGUAGGGCAGUUUAUCUGCCUUGUUGCUUCGAAGGCUGGAGCUUCCUUUCCUGCCCCUCAAAUGUGUCUCUAUGGUCACAUGAUGUGCUUUGUUAUUAAAAGCAACAGUGGCUAUAUGUAUUUCCUGCGUAGCUAUAUGUAAUAGCUAAUGCUCUUUAAUUGGAUAUGGACUUUACGGAGGAAUAUCUACUGUGGUAUUCUGCCUUGAAGGACCUCAGACACGAAACAGCACUUCUGUAUGACAGAGGGAAAGCACUCAGGCAAGCACCAUUAAUCUACCAAAAAGUACUGUGAAUGGUGAAGCGAACUUCAGAAAUUAUACAGUUGGUUCUACAACUCUGUCUCUGGAAAGUUAGCCAAAAUAGAACAAAGUGACAGUUUGCACCUUCAGGUGUACAGGGUCUCCUGCGUAGCAACUCGUUACCCUUGAAGAGUUGUUGCAGAACGCAUGAGGAGUUGAGAGAAGUCUCUGAGAGGCUGGAAGACAGCAUGGACAUGCAAGUUGGGAUGAAAACCACAUCCUGAACUCCCAAAAAAAGAAAGUUGAGAAAGCUACAAGGAAGCUCCUUUCAUCUGUAGAUCCUUUGAGGAGAUUUGUACUGUGUGUACUCACACAGUGCAUGUUGAACAGACAACUAAGAUGCCAGCUCUAAAAAUGUUCCUUCCUAUUCUGUAUCAUUAAGCUAUUGCUAAAUAAUCUAGUAAUUCUCCUGAAAUAUGGCAUGCAGUACAGGAAAGCAAGCUCUCAAAGUCCCUUGUUAUCAUUUCACCAAAGCUCAGAAAAGAGCCCCCAAGGAAGCAGGAUGCCUGAGCUCUGACCCUGCUGGAGCAGAGUGGAGAGACUGAGCAGUGGUUGAGUCACCCCAUUUGAAAACAAAUCUAUAUCUAAUUAGUGAAUCCUUGCAAUAGCCCUGGGAGGUAUAUAAAUAUUGCUGCUCUGUUUUACAGGAAACUGAGAUGGAAGGGGAUGAAUUCUUCUGUGUUAUAAAAAAUGCCAUUAACCAGUUAAAUGAAGGCAAAUUAGCUACUGAUGUGCUUUGAUUGUGCCUUAUAAAGCACAACUUACACCCCACCUGAUUACAAUUUCAGCUUACAUGCUCAUAUUACAGAGUAUUUUUUGUAUUUACUUUUUUUAACCAGUAUUUACCUUUUUUUUGAUCCAGUUCUUUACAUUUUGUUAACUUUCACAGCCUACUAACAGUGGGAGUGUUCUCCGAUCAAAGGAAAAUCACUGACUUGCUGGUAACUAGGUAUCCAUUCACUCCUAAUUCCAGGGAAGUAUGUAAUGCAAGAUGAAAUAAAUAGCAUCUCAACAUAGCACAGCAGAACAAGCAAGGUGCAAAUCUAGGUACACUGGUAAUGUUUAUGAGUGGAGGAUGGAGGGAGUUUUCCUUGUCUCCUUGUGGAGCUGAAAAUAAAAACAAUAUCAAUACAAUAAGUAACGUGGAGGAAAAUUUUUGUGCUCUGAAUAAUAUUGGACUCAUCGGUCUCUUCUUGGUUGAUUGUGAAUUUGGCUGAUCAACUUACUGAGUGAUCAUUUGAGCAUUUUAAAAUAUAUUUCUUUUAGCAAGCAAAAUAAUAUUAUCUGUUGGUGAUUCUGUAAUCAGAUUUGAUAAGAACCACAACACUUUGCUGUUAAGAUGACAGUGCUGCAUAUAUAAUCAUACGAGAAUACCAUGUGUUUCUUGCCACUGCUCAGUCCAGAACACCAUAUUUUCUUGCACUCUCUGCCUUCAUUAUUUAGUAAAAAGAAUUUUUUUCCUUUGAGUGGAUUUCACUUGAAUAUAACCAGAAGACUCACAACUGAUUUUGAACAUCUUGAAGGAACGUAUUAGGCAAAUAAAGUGCACUUUGGGGUUUCCAUAUUGCUGAGUUGAAAGGAAGACAUUUUCAAAUUGGUACAUGCUUGGGAAUGCUAAUGAGCAGUCUUGGAUAUAUGUCUAAAGAGAGAAGUUAGAAUGCUAGUGGGUAGUCAUCUUCUGCAGGCUGUCUGCCUAACACUAGAUAAAAAAAAUAUUUUGAUUGAAAAAGCUUCUUCCUCUGUACAGGGUUUUUCUCUUCCUUUUCCUUUUUAUUUUUAUUUUUUUAAUUUUCCUUUAGUUAAAAAACAAACAAACAAACAAAAAUUUUAAUCUUCCUUGCCCCUUUUUUUUUUCCUUUGAACUAGUAAUUGGGAAAUAACCCCACAUAUUUUUAAAUAUUCGUAUAUAUAUCUGAUACCAUUGACGUUUCCUCCCAUGCAUAUGGUCCAGUCUGUCUUAUUACUUUUUCUAUCUUUAAGAUAAAGACCUUUAAGACCUGAUGACAGCUCAUCACCACUAGUAAAUCCCUGAGCUUUACUAGUGUUAUGCUGGAGGUUCUUCCAGGCCUGAAGUACUCUAUAUAUUUGCCUCCCUCAAAAUGAUGCUAUCAACCUGUAAGACAAAGAACAUCCUAAGAUGCCAAUUGGAAAAGCCUAAAUGUUUACUGGCAAUAUGUCUCUUUUAGAACCUUUAUAGGUGAAUUAUAUGCAGAUAUAUAGAUAGAGGUUUUAUUGAUGCAUCUAUAUAAUCAAUGUUAUGAAAAGAUAGGGUCCAAAUAUCAGACUGUAAGAGAAAAAAAAAAUGAAGAUGUCAGCAUGGAAAAAAUGAUAGGAAGAUUUAAAAAUAUUUAUAAAACAGGAAAGAGAGGAUUAAUUAAGAGCAUGGAGAUUUUCCAUUAUCUUUAUUAAAGGAGUUUAUAUUGAUCCAACAUUGGGAAAAAUAUAAAUGGACAAAAAAAAAAACCAAAAAAAAACUGCUGAGUGAACAAUGAAAUUAUAGUUUCUUAGUUCUGGACCAUCAAAAAGAAAAACCGGUAUCAUCCAAGGUUAAAAGUGACGUAAAACUCCUAAGUGGCCAUAACUGUCCAAACAGGAAGGAAUGAUGGAGUAGUUCAAUUACACCGAACAUAAAUUAAAUACAUUUGUCAACGAAUUCUAAUGGCAAGAUACAGUGACUUUUAUGCAAGUGAAGUCUCCAGAAGUAACUUUUCAUAUAGAUUGACUAGAAGUUUGAGCAGUAUUCAUUAUGUGGAGGAAUCUUUCAGAAGGCAGUAUCACCUUGUAGUUUUCCUACAAUAGGCAUCGUAAUGAGAACCAUCCAUUCUUUUAAAUAGAGCACCCAUACUUUGCUUUCAACAAAAUGGUUAUCUCAUUAUUUUACACGAAUUGUUUCCAAACUUUAUUUCUUUGUAUAAAAAAAUAUAUAUCUGUUAUAUAUUAUGUAGUUGAAUAUGAUUUUACCAUUAGAGAUCUAUACAUCUGGUAUUGCCUUCCUGAAAUCUGUUUUAGUCAUAAUAUAAAUGGUCAUGUUAAACAGUCUUUUGAAAAUGAUCAUGGUAAUGCAUCUAACUUUAUUGAAGUUGUCUUAUGAAGUUAAAAUUAUUUGCUAGUCUCUUUUCAGCCCAGAAAACAAGUUUCUUCUGUAAUCAUUCCAUUACUUUUUAAAAGAGAUCUGACAAGCAUAAACAUUCUCCUUAUCAAACUCCUGAUUGAGAACUGAACUUCUGCACUGCCAGAUAGCCGCUUAUCUUCAACCAACAUAGCAUUCUAAAAAUGUAGCUGGUUGCAGUUAUUAAAAAUUACAUCUGCUGAAGUCUCAGCCCACAGAAUACACCAUAUUUUAUUACAAGACUAUGUCUUCUAGAAAGAUACUUCCUAGUUUAGGAACUGCUGUAUCACUGUUCAACUGUGAGAGUGUACAGGGUAUUGCAUACACCCACAUACAUAUCCAGGACCUCUUACCUAACUACAUUGUUUUUGUAACAUGAUUCUUCUGGUGACUGAAGAAAAGAGACAAUGAGAAUAAAGAAUGCAAAGGUAGAAAGUGUUGCUCUUGAAUUACAAACUAUCAUAGGAUUUCACAGGAAUAAUCUUUUAAAAUCGAGUUAUUGUAGCCUUAGUGCUCCAGUAGUGUUAAUGUGGUUUUAAAGUGUCAAAUACUCAAUUUAAAGGCAUCAAAUAUAAUGUAUUUGCAUCACUAAUUCAUGAUAACUACAGCUAAAACGGGAGACUUUAAGUUCUAAGUCAUAAGCAUCAGGAAUUACAUUUAGGAACAGUAGAAAGUUCAGAUUUCACCCCCUUCAAAGGUCAAAAAGAAAUAAAUAAAAUAAGACACAGCCCUGAACUUUUAUUAAAGCCAGAUCUUGCCUUUUUAUGGUAUUUUUACCUGAGAUCUGUACAAACAUUAAUAACACUAAGUUCUGUAAGCCUUUCAGUCUCCAUUUAACAGAUAGAAGAAGAGGAAUAGAAAAAGUUACUGUCUAAACUCCCAGUGGUACUACUUAGAUGCUACUAAGACAGCACUGCUUUGUUUGAAGUAUUACAGAAUAGCCCAAAUUCCCAAUAAAUUUAACAGAAAAGAUUAAUAAGCCAUUACUAAUGGAGGCAGAUCUGAAGUUACUGAAGAUGCACCCUUAGAAAUUAACCGUCAUGUGCAGUCCCUCACUGGCAAUAGGAGUGGGACUAGAAAGUUCUAUUUGAAUUUUUGUCUUAGAAUUCACACUGAGGAAUGAUUCAGCAUGUAACAAACAUUGGAACAGAUAGCGUACUCUCUGUAUAUACAAAGUAAAGAUUGAUUUGCAGUUUGGAUUUAGUUUGCUUAGUGCAAAAAUCAACUUAACCCAGAUUAUUCUGAAUAGUCAGCCUCUUUAAAGCCAAGCCAAAUUAGACUAACCUAGACAGCAGGUUAAGUCCAACAGCUUGUAUUGGCACUUUGUAAAAUGUCAGCGCAUUAAUUCCGCUCCUUAACUUAUAUACAGAGCUCUCUUAAAAACAUAUUUUUAUCUAGAUCAAUAAUGUACCUGAUAGAAAAAAACAACGACAAAAAACAAAACAAAACAAAACAAAAAAACCCACAUAUGUCUGUACCUUGCAACAGAAUACGCUGUAGGUACACUUCAGUUGUGUCAGAGCACAUAUAUACAUGUGAGUACAAAUGUAAGAAACACCAACUGCAUCAGAUGGAUGGCCUAUCUAGCCUAGUAUUCUGUCUGGCACAGGUAAAAUUACUUAGGAAGAAUAUGCAAACCCUACCAUUUCCACUGGUGGUCUCCCAGAACUCAAAAUAAUUCAGCGGGUGAUGCUAGAAGGUAUAUGUGUGAGUAUCCUGCUUUAGUUUCUGUUUAUGGAUAUUUGGCCAUGAAUUUACCAAAUUCUUUCAUGAACUUUAUGAGGGAACUGGGAUUGUUUGGACUGGAGAAGAGGAGGCUCAAGGAAGACCUUAUUGCUCUUUACAACUGCUUGAAAGGAGGUUGUGAUGAGGUGGGGUUGGCCUCUUCUCCCACAUAAGUAGCAAUACAACUAAAGAGAACAACCUCAAGUUGCACCGGGGAAGAUUCAGAUUGGAUAUUAAGAAAAAUGUCAUCUAAAGAGUGGUCAGGUGCUGGAAUGGGCUGCCCAGGGAGGUAGUGGAGUCAUCAUCCCUGGAGGUGUUCAAGAAAUGUUUAGACGUUGAACAAAGAGUCAUGGUUUAGUGGGGAAAUGGUGAUGGUAGGUGAACAGUUGAGUUAAAUAAUCUCAGAGGCCUUCUUCAACCUUGGACAUAAAUUACCCGAAAAGGUAAUUUCUUUUAUUUACCAGAUCCCAGUGUAAUGCAGAUAAUUUAUCAGAUCCCAGUUUAAUGCAGAUAAUUCCCUCAGUAUUUCCAUAGCCUCCCUCAACAUUCUCAUGAGUUUCAAAUAAGAGAUCAGGAGCACCUUAAGAAUGGUAGAUAGGCCAAAGUGCUAGUGGUGUAUAUUUUAUUGAAGCAUUGGCUUUAAUGUCAGUUUACCAGUUCAUUUUUCCCAAAGCUGUUUUUCACUAGAGUAUAAUAAUUUUGAUCUCUUCAUACUGUCACGGCUUCUUGGUGAAUCUUGAAAAUAUCACAAGGCUAAAUGAGAUCUUAGUUUACCUUUAAAUAGAUUCAAGCAUCUCUAAGACAAAUGUUGUUUAAAUGUGGAGCAGAAAAGGUCUCUGGAAAAAAUAUUUGGAUCUCUGCUGAAGCCACAGCAAGGUUUUCCAUUUCUCCAUUAAUUCAGUAUUCAAGUGCCAGAUUGAAAAUGACUCUUGCUUUCCCUCACAAGGACUACUUUAAAAUGAAAAUGACACUAAAGUACAAGGCAGUAAUUUAUCUCAGGGUGUCUGCUACAUUUUAAUCCUAUUUAUGUCUCUCUUUUCUCCUAUUUACACCAUUCUUCAGUGGCUUUCAUAUGUUUCCCUAAGGUUGUUCACAUCAUGAAAUUUCUGUGGUCUACAUGCAGGGCAAAAGUAUUCAAAGGUAGAUGAAUGUGGAAACCAGAAGUGUUGUCUAUCUUACCUGACAUGCCUCAUGACUAUAGCAUUUAUAGAAGUUCAGCUAUAUCAACCAUACUUGGGAGUAAUAUCAUAGAAUUAGUACAGUGUAGCUCUUUCACAAUCUUGAGAAGUAGUGGACUGUUCCUCAGCUCACAGCAGCACCUGUUGUAAAUAAAAUAGGAUCCUACUGAAGUACUGAAAUUUUAACAAUGUCUUAAUCUGUAGAGAAGAAUGCCCCUUUCCAGCACAAAGAGUAUAGAAACCCAAAUGUAAGUGGAGGAGAGAGCCUGUGGAAUAUGAUGUUGCAAGUUUUCCUCUUGAAACCCUCAGGAACUGUCUACCAUUCAGGCAAGCGUGUAAAUCCUUUCAUCUACAUAGCUUCAGUAGCCUCACUACCAUCUUAGUCUUCAAAACAGAAGUGAACAAAACAGGUCUUCAAAACAGAUCCACCUAUACACGUAUGAACAACACAAAUGAGCCAAAUCCUGUUGGAAGUUGUAGAUUUUCAGGACUUGACAUGAUGGUGCAAAACUUGUUAAUUCCUUACAUUUUUUUUCUCAUGAAUGACAUGAAAAUUUCUCUUACAUACUGCAGUUCUAAAAGAGUGCAAUACUUCUGAGAAGAGAAAGAACAGUUCUUCAGAUUUCUAGCUACUAGAAAAAUUGGAGAGGAAAGAUGCCAUUUUCUAUGAGAAAAGAAGGAUCAAAUCAUCAUUUCCACCAUUCCACAGGGGAAAUGGAAAAGUACAACAUCAGUGAAGCAUUCAUUCUGUACUGAACCACAAUUUGUUUUGCCAAACACUGUGCAGAACUUGAAACUCAAAAGCUGGAAAAACCAGUGCCCAGCACAUGCCUCCCUCCAAAUCUUAUAAGGAUAUUAUGAUAAAUUCAAUGUGGAAGUGCCAUUCUCAGUACUUUUUUGAGUAGGAAAAUUCCCAGAGGGAAAAGAAUAUAUAUAUAAGAAUAUAUGUAUACAGUGAGAGUCAGAUUAGAAAUCUUGUUGUCAGAAGGCAGGACAGAGAUUUCAGAUUGAUCUAGUGAAGGCUAGAGAGUUUCUCUGAGUUAAAGCUAAGGGAGAAAAAAAAAAAAAACAAGAAGAGAAAAAGCACACUAAAUUUACAUGGAGCUGUAGGAUGUAAAUCCAACCUACUUCAAUAGUUUUUGUAGACAGUCAUUUGGAAGAGGGAUGCUAUAGCCAAGAAUGCUUUAGUUUUGUGGGGGGAAAAAAAAAAAAAAAAAAAAGAGCAGCGUUGUUGUUGUUUCAGUUUGCAGUUGUUCUUAUUGUUUGUUUCGUUACCUUAACUCAGCACCAUGAUUGCUUCUAAAGAAAGAAAAUACGUUGGAAAAUCAUAUAAAAGCCACGUUGAUCUGGUCUGUUGUGCUUUCUUUAAAGGGACAGCUCCAUACUUGUUUGCUUUUUCUCCUGCUUCAUAAAUAUAUGAUGAUUUAAAAUGUGCAAUAUGAGGACAUUAAUAAGAAUUAUGUGUAGGAUAGAAGGGGGCAACAGGAGGCAGACCUCGCUGUGUAGAAACUGCUGAGUCUUAGGAAUACUUAGGGCCAUAUUUCUUUUCUGCUGUCACAGGUAACUGCUUGGAACUGUUCUCUCCUGAGGGUGCACAUAAGGCUGGCUUCAUUCUUUACUUACAAUCUAUAGCUAGAUAAGCUGGUAAAGGAAGUGAACCAAUUUUCAGUUAAUGACACUAAAACAAGACUGAGCCAAAAACAUAAAAGUUGUGCUUAGUCUUGAAUUUUUAUAAAAUUGAUUCAGAUAGUCUGACCUAAGCAUUGCUAUUAACAUAGCUGAAUUCAAGGAGCAUAUAUUCAAAGCAAACUUUGAUAUUGAAACUAAAUUAAAAUUGAUUUUGUAAUGGGAAAGCCUUGCAUUCCCUCCUUAGUUAAAAAUCUCACUUCAUACUAAGUAGUCUGGGUUUGACAAGUCAAGGAAAUAAAAUCAGUUAUUUGGGAUGGCAGGCAAGAUCAUCAUGAAGGAGAACUGUGUGGACACAAGAUUAUUGAUAACAAUAAAAAAAUGUAUCACACACAACAUACCAUUCUUUCCUUUGCAGUUGUGCCAUUGCUAGGCAACUGAAAAUGGAUGAGUAGAUUUUAGCUGUAUAUCUAUACCCUUCAUUUGGAGAAUCAUGAAAGGGACUUCUGAAAAACAAACAUCAUGUUUCUGAUCAGGAUCCAAUAUGGCUUUACUGCUACUGAGGACUAGAAAAUGUAUUAUUUCCAAUACUAUAAAUUUUGUUGAUAAACAUCACAGUAUACUUGUAAGACUUUUAAAACAAUGCAGCUUUCUGUUUAGUAACAGAAUAUUUUCUUAAGCAGAUUUUUAUGCUCUCAUUUUUUAUUCACCAUAUUGUAGUAUACAAGUUGUGUAUCCUAUACUUCAUGAAAUCACCAUUGGUGAGUAGAGAGCAUAGUUACUCAGCACUUAAGUUAAAAGUACUCAUAAAAUUUACUUCAGUUGGGACUGUUUGUAUUUCUAACAGGUGGUAACUCUUUUUGCUUAAGUAGGUAACUUAAUGACUUCUCUGUCAUUUAAGAUCUACUGCCAUUCAACACUCAUUACCUUUAAUACAUGCUUUAGCAAACAUUUAACUUCUUAGUUUUAACACUGUUGCAACAGUAAGGGAAGAAUGACUGCUACCAUAACGUUGGCAGUGGUUGAUAAUUUACACUUCCUCUAUAGCCUACUACCCCUUAAUAAAUAAAUAAAUAAAAAUAAAAGAAAGAAAUAAAGAGAGAAAUAAAAAAAAAAAAAAGGAAAGAGAAAGGAAAAAAAAAUCCACUCCCUUGAUAAUUAGUACCCUUUGUCAAAGCUUCAGUUACAAUUUGACGAGAAAAUAUUCCUAAAUGUCAAGAACCAUGCAGUCUGAUAAAUAUGGAUGACAUUUAAAAAGCAGAGGAGGUAGUUCUACAGAAGCAGAAGAAGCAAAAAGAAAUGCAAUAUGUAUUUACGGAAAGAAACAGUUUUUCCACCAUGUAUUCUCCUCAUAUAUUGACUGUUUUGUACUCCUGGUUCUUCUUUUCAAGAGCACUGUGAAGCUUUUGUCUCAUAUCAAAUGCCUUAGCUGCAUUUCUUCAUUAUAAAACAGCACAUUUCAACAGCCCAGGUCUUUCCACUUGUAAUCACUCAGUAUAAUUGAUUGAGAAGAUAGAGUCAGAGAAUCCUCCAAAUAUUUUAAUUCUUCAGAGUUGUUUAAAUUUAGCAAAAAAUGACACCCUGAGAAAAUGAAAUGGCACGUACUCAGAAAUUGCUAACUGUGAUAUAGAUCAAUCACAGCCCUUGGUGAUUACUCUUUAAACAAGUCUGUCUCACAAGCAGAUUCAAAGGAAUUGACCUUCUGAAUGUUAACAAACAGAAGGCAAGAUUCUCCACUUCUGACAACUUUAAAAUCUCUCUUGUUGGAAAAUCUGAAAGACAAAGCGUUUUUAGCAGGUGGAAUUAGAGAACUACGUUCUCCAUAUUUACCACUCUAGGGGUACAGGUAUUUUCAUUACUAAAGCCUUUGUUGGAACAAGACUCAUUAAGAAAGCUAUAAAAGAAUGGAAUAUUAUCGUGUAAUGAACACCUAAUUGAAAACUAAUGUGCAAUGAGAAAGAAAUAAACUUUGUGACGAUAGGAUUAGAAAUGUGUCUGACUACAAUGGCAGUAUUUGUAAGAUAGGAUGACAUGAAUUCAUCAUCUUCACUUCCAGAUCUAACAACCUCUCUGAUCUGAGAGCAUCAAGAAUGUAAAUGCAGUUAAACAACAAUUCCCCAUCUUAAACAACCAGCACUGAGAUUGUGCAGGUACUCCACCACUGUACUACUAUAGUUGCUUGGGUUUACUUGGGCAAUGGUAGUAGAAAAAAACAUAUCCUAUCCACUGUGUUAACUGUGAAGUAGAUGAACCAUACUUCCGGCUGGGUGUCUGAACUCUGUGAGGUUCCCUACUCUCUGAGCUACUCAACUAAGGCUACUUUUCUCAAACUUCUCAAACUGAACAAAAACCAUCCUGUAACACUGCGAAAAUGUGGUGGGAAAUUUUUCCCUGAAUCAAUUUCAUGAAGUUCCUAACUAUGUUUGACGUGUUUGUGAGGAUAAGAUUUAAAAAAAUACAUUUAUUUCAUAGUUAAUUUGAAUAUCAAACAAUGUAAAAUAAAUCUUGCUCAAAUUAC
rnacentral:lncRNA from 1 species